AGUUUCUCAAGAGCAUUUGUAACGAGAGCCAAGCAUGCGCAAAGGAAUUGAAAACUAUAGAGCUGCAGCUUCUCAUACCAUGCACGCGGAAGAAACUUUGGGCCAUAUGGGGAGAUCUCCCACUCUAUGACUACAACACAAAAAAGAUUGUAGAGAAGAUUGUGGACUGCGCUAUUUCUACCGUUCCCAACACUAAGGUAGCAUGGCUCCUCGUGAAGGUGGCGCUGCGUGUGGCGGGUUAGACGUCGCACCUCGCCGAGGAACGUAAUGGGGGUGGCACAAUAUAGUUUUGAUCAUGUUGUGUCAACCAGCCUUCAAAAAAUAAAGAUUGUGGAACCAUGUAGGAUGUGAAGCUGUGCAGCAUACGUCGA